rnacentral:rRNA from 1 species
GUAGGGUGCGAGCGUUAAUCGGAAUUACUGGGCGUAAAGCGUGCGCAGGCGGUUUUGUAAGACAGGUGUGAAAUCCCCGGGCUUAACCUGGGAACUGCGCUUGUGACUGCAAGACUCGAGUACGGCAGAGGGGGGUAGAAUUCCACGUGUAGCAGUGAAAUGCGUAGAGAUGUGGAGGAAUACCGAUGGCGAAGGCAGCCCCCUGGGUCGAUACUGACGCUCAUGCACGAAAGCGUGGGGAGCAAACAGGAUUAGAUACCCUGGUAGUCCACGCCCUAAACGAUGCGAACUAGGUGUUGGGGAAGGAGACUUCCUUAGUACCGCAGCUAACGCGUGAAGUUCGCCGCCUGGGGAGUACGGUCGCAAGAUUAAA